GACGAACGCUGGCGGCGUGCCUAAUACAUGCAAGUCGAACGCAGUGGGGACGGGUGAGUAACACGUGGGUAACCUCCCAUCAGAAGGGAUAACACUUGGAAACAGGUGCUAAACCGAUACUGAUGGAUGGACCCGCGGUGCAUUAGCUAGUUGGGGAGGUAACGGCUCACCAAGGCCACGAUGCAUAGCAGACCUGAACGGGGAAUCGGCAACACUGGGACUGGGACACGGCCCAGAGUCCUACGGGAGACAGCAGGAGGGAAACUUCGGCAAGGGACGAAGGUCUGACCGAGCAACGCCGCAUGAGUGAAGAAGGUUUUCGGAUCAUAAAACUCUGUUGUUAGAGAAGCGGUAUCUAACCAGAAAGCCACGGCUAACUACGUGCCAGCAGCCGCGGUAAUUC
rnacentral:rRNA from 1 species